CGCAUCCUUAGGUCUCUUCGCUGAUGACUUCUAUUUGUGGCGGUCAGGCUUUCACCCAAGCCCGAGGGGCCGUCCCCGCCACCCCCAUCCGACAGGACUCUCCCUCUGCUCCCCUCCUCGUCCUCCUGCCCCUGCCUCCCCGCCUUCACCCGGUGCGGGUACUGCUGCCCCGAGCGCCCGGAUCGCCCCCCGUCCCUCCCCCCCAUCCGCAUCCGAGCGCCUCUGCUCCCCAGGGCGCCGCACGCAGCCAGGGGCCAGGCGGGAAGCCGGAGCCCGCCGCCUGCCCAGGGCCGCGGGUGGCUUCUCCGCGGUCCCGCGCGGCACCCUCUUCGGGCACCAGCUCCUGAACUUGGCCGGAAACGAACCAGUCCUCUGGAGCGGAAAGCUGCCGGCUUGUUGGUUGCUAGCAAGAGCCUAUCCAGGGUCGAGGUUCGGUGUGUUUGUUUCCACGUGCCUCUGUCCUAACCGGCUCCGCCCCCAAAGUUUCAAGUGUACAAGCUCGCCUUCCGCGCCAACUGUUGGAGUUCACCGUGGUGACCAUCUGACAUGUCUCAAACAGCUGCCUCAAAGCAUCCCUCCUCCAGGUGCCCCCUUCCCACCUUCCACGGGCUAUAAAACAAGCAAACACACAAAGAAGAAUAUGCGACAGAAACUAGAUGUCCACCCUGUGGCCAUGUGUGAUCUGUGAACCAUCUCUUCUGUUGGCUGCAGGAAUCCUGGUGAAAGGUGGCUUUUCUUCCAUCCAGGCAGCAGUGACAAGAGGCAAGCAUAAAAUUAUGACACAGGUGACAAUUGCUGGUGAAAUACAGGUACCUACUUCCCACGGGGAGAAGCUGUUGAGAGAACCAAACGGCUGGGACACCGUGAGUGAAACACUUACCACAGGGCCUGGCAGGAAGCAGUCCUGUUAUCAACACUGAUGGUUAAGAGUGUCGUUAAUAACAAUGUACCCACGCGACUCAUAUUAGGACAUGUGUAAUGAGUGACACCUCUUCUGAUCCUUCACUGCAUGACUAAUCCUGGAGAAGGGAGAAACCA